GGCUAUAGCCAAGCGGUAAGGCAACGGACUUUGACUCCGACACUCAUGGGUUCAAAUCCAGUCAUUGCCU
rnacentral:tRNA from 1 species